AUGGCUCAGCCGACCCCCGCCGGAGUCAUUUUCUGCGCUUUCUGCUUAAUCACUCAGGUUUUAUCCCAGAACACGACCUCCCCGAUCAACUCCACCGCGCUGGCGGGAAACCAGACGGUGAACGCGAACGACACCCUGGCGACCAACGCGAACGCCGCAGCGGCGAACGCCACCACCACCGCUCCGACUGGAGCCGGCGUUCUGACGCAGGCCAGCGUGCUCAACGUGCUCGUUCCCGUCGCCAUGGCAACCGGCCUCCUGCAGCGCUGGUGCUGAGCGUUCACCGUUCUGCACCGCAUCAUCUCCACCUGUAGCUUCACCAUCACUCAAAUGUCAGCAAGGUCUGGUCGCUUCAUCAGAACGCUCUGAAGAAAGCUUUAAGCCUGAAGUAGAAGAAUGGAUGGAUGACGACAUUUCAAACGGCUUGCGUUCCCAAAUCCAAACAUCUCAAUUUUUUUUUUUUUUUUUUUGCUGACCCUUCAAACGCACAUCUGACAUUGAACGGUUUUAGCUGAACGGCCGGAUUGCGCAAACCGUUCCGAGCCGUUCUAAACUAAACAGGCGCUUUCAUUGGUCACGUGGUGGUUUAUACCAGUUUCAGGUGGAUUGCAUCUAUAUUUGCCCACUUUAGUUAUCAAUCAAACUGUUAGUCGUUUAUUGGGAUGAGGUGGACACUUUGUAAUACUGUUUUUCUCUUGCAUAGUUUAUAUUUUGUACAAAUCGAAAUGUUUUAAUGUUUGUAAAAUGAGUACAUGACAAUAAACAAUGUAGAAUUGAAUGAAACGCUUUUGGCUCGUUUGAUGGGAGACUGCAGGAAUACACUUCACUGUAAGUAACUCAAAGUUGUAAAUAAAAGAAAAAAAUAGAGUUAAUUUUACAAGAAAUCAGGCCCACUUUGGGUCGUUCAACUUCAAAAUAUAGAACGUUUAAUUGCAGUUUCAUUGUAAUGAUGUUUCAGAGGGAAAUUUAUGCUGUUUAAUUAACAUGUAAUCUGGGAUAUUCCUGUGCUGUUUAAAUUUG
rnacentral:lncRNA from 12 species